rnacentral:rRNA from 1 species
AUUGAACGCUGGCGGCAGGCCUAACACAUGCAAGUCGAGCGGAUGAAGGGAGCUUGCUCCUGGAUUCAGCGGCGGACGGGUGAGUAAUGCCUAGGAAUCUGCCUGGUAGUGGGGGAUAACGUCCGGAAACGGGCGCUAAUACCGCAUACGUCCUGAGGGAGAAAGUGGGGGAUCUUCGGACCUCACGCUAUCAGAUGAGCCUAGGUCGGAUUAGCUAGUUGGUGGGGUAAGGGCCUACCAAGGCGACGAUCCGUAACUGGUCUGAGAGGAUGAUCAGUCACACUGGAACUGAGACACGGUCCAGACUCCUACGGGAGGCAGCAGUGGGGAAUAUUGGACAAUGGGCGAAAGCCUGAUCCAGCCAUGCCGAGUGUGUGAAGAAGGUCUUCGGAUUGUAAAGCACUUUAAGUUGGGAGGAAGGGCAGUAAGUUAAUACCUUGCUGUUUUGACGUUACCAACAGAAUAAGCACCGGCUAACUUCGUG